GGGUUUGUUGUUCACAGUUAGUAGUUACAACCUGGGCACACUCUUUAUUCGAUUGUCUGACUCACAUCUAGGAUAUUUUAUUUCCAUUGUAUUUGGCGAUGAUGAUGCGAAGAAGCUCUUCUAUUCAUGGAUUCCCUCUUCUUCGAUACUUUGCUUUGUCUUCUAAUCCCACGCACUUUCUUCUUCACCCAUCACAUUCUUCUUCAACUUUCUCCACCUACGUCAGAGAUAGUGACAAUCAUAAUCAUAAUAACGCCUCUAUAAAUACAAGAAGAGCUCAAUUCCUUGAUUCCAUGAGAAAUGUGAAAUCUGUAGACGUUGCUUUGGAUUUCUACCACAAAAUGGUCACAAUGAAGCCUUUCCCAUGUGUCAAGGACUUCAACUUGUUGUUUGGCAUCGUUGCGAAGAUGAAACACUACACAACUGCAAUUUCGCUAAUCAAACACAUGUCUUAUAUUGGUGUCAAACCGAAUGUCUCCACUCACAAUAUCGUCAUUAAUUGUCUCUGCCGUUUGAACCACACCGUGUUUGGCUUCUCUGUUUUGGGGCUUAUGUUCAAAAUUGGUGUGGAACCUAGCAUCGUGACUUUUACCACCAUUGUUAAUGGGCUUUGCGUAGAAGGAAAUGUUGCUCAAGCAAUUAGGUUUGUUGACCAUUUGAAAGAUAUGGGCUAUGAAUCUGACAGAUAUACCCGUGGAGCAAUAAUUAAUGGAUUGUGUAAAGUUGGUCAUUCAUCCGCUGCACUCUCGUAUCUCAAGAAGAUGGAAGAACAAAAUUGCAAUUUGGAUGUUACAGCUUACAGUGCAGUUGUGGAUGGUCUUUGCAAGGAUGGGAUGGUAUUUGAGGCCUUGGAUUUAUUCUCACAAAUGACAGGCAAAGGUAUUCAACCGAAUCUUUUCACCUAUAAUUGCUUAAUUCAUGGCCUUUGUAACUUUGAUAGAUGGAAAGAGGCUGCACCUCUAUUGGCUAACAUGAUGAGAAAGGGAAUCAUGCCAGAUGUGCAAACUUUUAAUGUUAUAGCUGGCAGAUUUUUGAAAACAGGGAUGAUUUCUAGGGCUAAAAGCAUAUUCAGUUUCAUGGGGCAUAUGGGGAUUGAACAUAAUGUUGUCACCUAUAAUUCAAUAAUUGGUGCUCAUUGUAUGUUAAAUCAAAUGAAGGAUGCCAUGGAAGUAUUUGAUUUGAUGAUUCGCAAGGGCUGCUUACCAAACAUUGUAACUUAUAAUUCAUUAAUCCAUGGAUGGUGUGAAACUAAAAACAUGAAUAAGGCCAUGUAUUUCUUGGGUGAAAUGGUAAAUAAUGGACUAGAUCCAGAUGUUGUCACAUGGAGCACUCUUAUUGGGGGGUUUUGCAAAGCAGGGAAACCAGUAGCCGCAAAAGAAUUGUUUUUCGUAAUGCACAAGCACGGGCAACUUCCCGAUCUCCAAACUUGUGCUAUUAUAUUGGAUGGCCUAUUUAAGUGUCAUUUUCAUUCUGAGGCAAUGUCAUUGUUUAGGGAGUUGGAGAAGAUGAAUUCAGAUCUUGAUAUUAUAAUUUACAGUAUUAUUUUGAAUGGAAUGUGUAGUUCUGGAAAACUGAAUGAUGCACUGGAACUCUUUUCUUAUCUGUCAAGUAAAGGCGUCAAAAUUGAUGUUGUUACUUAUAACAUAAUGAUUAAUGGUCUAUGUAAAGAAGGACUGUUGGAUGAUGCCGAAGACUUAUUGAUGAAAAUGGAAGAGAAUGGUUGUCCCCCAGAUGAGUGCACUUAUAAUGUCUUUGUCCAAGGAUUGCUGCGAAGAUAUGAAAUUUCAAAGUCAACAAAAUACCUUAUGUUUAUGAAAGGUAAAGGUUUUCGGGCAAAUGCUACCACCACCAAAUUGCUUAUCAACUACUUCUCUGCUAACAAAGAAAACAGGGCAUUCCAAGUGUUUUUGCAGAAAUUUGUUUGAGUAUUUAAUAUUGGUAUAUUAAAAUACCAACAUUUUCUUGAGGGCCAACUUAUUAGCAGAGUCAGGCUCUGUACUUCAGGAAGCACUAAGGGCAAGAUGGUUGAAGGAUGAUACAACUUGCAUUGCAGUUGAUACAAUUCCACCUGAUUCAUCACCACUCCCCUAAAAGCAAAACAAUUUGUGUGCUCUUUUGUUCGGGAAGAUGUCUCAUGACUCUGCUGCUAAGUUGUCAAAAAAGCUUUCAGCUAUAAAUAUAGUUGAGGAACUAUUUGAAGAAGGAUCAACAAUGCUUUCUAAAUUCUAUUCUUAUAAUCUUUUAUUGAAAAAUCUUUUUUCUUUUCUUUUUACAAAUUAUAAAAUUCUCAUGACAGUGUCCUGCAUAUUGUUUUCCUUAUCUGAACCUCCUUUUCUGUCCCCACAGGGUUCCUGUAAUUAAAUGUUGUCGUGUAGUUAAUAUACAAUUUUUUUUUGGUUCUGGGGGCAGUGUGUGUGAGGAUGGUCAUUCAAUUAUUUAUUCUGUGAUCAUAGGAACUAAUUCAUUUGUAA